CCUACGGGUGGCAGCAGUGAGGAAUAUUGGUCAAUGGGCUUACGCCUGAACCAGCCAAGUCGCGUGAGGGAAGACUGCCCUAUGGGUUGUAAACCUCUUUUGUCAGGGAGCAACGCCGGCUACGUGUAGCCGGACUGAGAGUACCUGAAGAAAAAGCAUCGGCUAACUCCGUGCCAGCAGCCGCGGUAAUACGGAGGAUGCGAGCGUGAUCCGGAUUUAUUGGGUUUAAGGGGUGCGUAGGCGGAAUGCCAAGUCAGCGGUAAAAUCGCGGGGCUCAACCUCGCUCCGCCGUUGAAACUGGCGGUCUUGAGUGGGCGAGAGGUAUGCGGAAUGCGAGGUGUAGCGGUGAAAUGCAUAGAUAUCACGCAGAACUCCGAUUGCGAAGGCAGCAUACCGGCGCCCAACUGACGCUGAAGCACGAAAGCGUGGGUAUCGAACAGGAUUAGAUACCCUAGUAGUC
rnacentral:rRNA from 1 species